rnacentral:rRNA from 1 species
GACGAACCGAGCAAACGUUAUUCGGAAUCACUGGGCUUAAAGGGUGCGUAGGUGGCGAGGCAAGUCUGGUGUGAAAAUCCCGGGGCUCAACCCCGGAACUGCACUGGAUACUGCUUUGCUAGAGUACUGGAGAGGAGAUUGGAAUUUACGGUGUAGCAGUGAAAUGCGUAGAUAUCGUAAGGAAGACCAGUGGCGAAGGCGAAUCUCUGGACAGUUACUGACCACUGAGGCACGAAGGCCAGGGGACGCAAACGG